rnacentral:lncRNA from 1 species
UCCAUCGAUAAAAGUUCGUGUACAGUACUGAUAUAGUACUAUAUAUGUAACUUGUACAGUUUUGCUUUAAUUUUUGCUCACUAUUUGCAUAAAAAGCAAAUUAUAACAGACCAUAGAUGAUAGACCCCCAUCCAGUGCUCUCAUCAGUUUACUUCUCUAACAAGCAAGGAGGGGGAGGGGGGGGUACAUAACAGUUCAUUUUUCAUAAUUAUGAGGACAGGGCAGAUGAUGAUGAGAAAUGCAAGGAUAAAACACCAUUCGCAAGGCUAGAUGUUAACAUAGAACAGUAUUUCUGGCAAUAAAACGCUCCAACUGACCAACUGACCAUUUCACACGAACUUUUAUUGAUGGAUAAUUUUGCGAUUUUUCAUCCAAUUCAA